rnacentral:piRNA from 1 species
UUAAAAAUUGCCGGCUGAAGAGAAGGC